GAUGAACGCUGGCGGCGUGCCUAAUACAUGCAAGUCGAGCGAACAGACGAGGAGCUUGCUCCUCUAACGUUAGCGGCGGACGGGUGAGUAACACGUGGAUAACCUACCUAUAUGUCUGGGAUAACUUCGGGAAACCGGAGCUAAUAACGGAUAAUAUAUUGAACCGCAUGGUUCAAUAGUGCAUGACGGUUUUGCUGUCACUUAUAGAUGGAUCCGCGCCGCAUUAGCUAGUUGGUAAGGUAACGGCUUACCAAGGCAACGAUGCGUAGCUGACCUGAGAGGAUGAUCAGCCACACUGGAACUGAGACACGGUCCAGACUCCUACGGGAGGCAGCAGUAGGGAAUCUUCCGCAAUGGGCGAAAGCCUGACGGAGCAACGCCGCGUGAGUGAUGAAGGUCUUCGGAUCGUAAAACUCUGUUAUUAGGGAAGAACAAAUGUGUAAGUAACUAUGCACGUCUUGACGGUACCUAAUCAGAAAGCCACGGCUAACUACGUG
rnacentral:rRNA from 1 species